GACGAACGCUGGCGGCGUGCUUAACACAUGCAAGUCGAACGGCAAGGCCCUGCUUUUGUGGGGUGCUCGAGUGGCGAACGGGUGAGUAACACGUGAGUAACCUGCCCUUGACUUUGGGAUAACUUCAGGAAACUGGGGCUAAUACCGGAUAGGAGCUCCUGCUGCAUGGUGGGGGUUGGAAAGUUUCGGCGGUUGGGGAUGGACUCGCGGCUUAUCAGCUUGUUGGUGGGGUAGUGGCUUACCAAGGCUUUGACGGGUAGCCGGCCUGAGAGGGUGACCGGCCACACUGGGACUGAGAUACGGCCCAGACUCCUACGGGAGGCAGCAGUGGGGAAUAUUGCACAAUGGGCGGAAGCCUGAUGCAGCAACGCCGCGUGCGGGAUGACGGCCUUCGGGUUGUAAACCGCUUUCGCCUGUGACGAAGCGUGAGUGACGGUAAUGGGUAAAGAAGCACCGGCUAACUACGUG
rnacentral:rRNA from 1 species